CAAAAGUUUCAAACGUUGUGGGUUAAGGCGUAGAAUCAGGCUGUAACGGUAAGAAGUCGUGCCAAAGAACUCGAUCUCCAAAUCCCAGAAACCCAAAAACCUCUUCAAUUUUGGCUGUUCGUCUCUCUCAAACCCUGUCUUUUCUCCACUGCUCUGGUGUGGAAAUCGAUCGCACAUCCUCAAUAUCGCAGGUGAAUGUUCCUCUCUCUGUUGUUUUUUUUUUUUUUUUUUCUGCAAAAGAGAACUUCUGGAAGAAUGAAACUAAUUUCCGUUGGUGUACCAUAGUGAAAUUUCAAAUUCUCUUUUCCAUUAUUGCUUGGUGAAGCUUCGGUCAUGGUAGGUUGAAGAUCGGACAGUAUCAUCUCCUUCUACUCCAUUUGCCUUGCCUUCAGUUUCUCUUGCUGGAGUCGUGGCAAAGAACUCGAUCGUCAAAUCCCAGAAACCCAAAAGCCUCUUCAAUUUUGGCUGUUCGUCUCUGUCAAACCCUAUCUUUUCUCCACUGCUCUGGUGUGGAAAUCGAUCGCACAUCUGGUUUAAGGCGUAGAAUCAGGUUGUAACGGUAAAAAGGUAAGAAGUUGCGCCAAAGAACUCGAUCGCCAAAUCCCAGAAACCCAAAGCCUCUCCAAUUUUGGCUGUGCGUCUCUCUCAAACCCUAUCUUUUCCCCACUGCUCUGGUUUGGAAAUCGAUCGCACAUCCUCAAUAUCACAGUGAAAUUUCAAAUUCUCUUUUCCAUUAUUGCUUGGUGAAGCUUCGGUCAUGGUAGGUUGAAGAUCGGACAGUAUCAUCUCGGGUGAAACAUGGGAGCUGUCAAAUUGGAACUCUGGUGUCCUGAAAACAUUAAUGGAGUAGCAGUAAAUCCACAGCCAGAUUGUAGUUUGGAUAUUCUCACUACAGAAAUGAAUUCCCUGCAUCUCAAUGCCUCUUUCUUGCGCCAUGUGCCCUUUGUUAAAUCAAGAAUCUGGGCUUCCUCAUCGCAAUGUGUUUAACUGUCAUGGAAAAAUUUUCAUUUGGAAUUGAUUCAUAGCCCUGUCAAGUGAAUUAAGCUUCUCUAUUACAAAAAAAAAGGUAUUCGAUUCCCCUUUUCUUAUUUGGGCUGCUCUGGUUAGUGAUCAGUGAGAAAGCUCGAUGAAAAUGUGCAUCUGAGAGUGUGCCUGGGCCCUCAAAUACCAAUUUCAGUGACAGAAAGCAACAGCCUUUUCAUUCUUCCUUUUUAAGUGAGCCGGCGAAUUUGUUGUCUAUGGAAUCAAGAAAUUUAGAUGGUAAAUGUGAAGAUCCAAUGGUGAAAUCUGGUAGGUUGGUCAGAUCUUCUGAAGUCCAUUUUACUGAUUUGAAGAUGGAGAGGUCAGAAUGUGGUACUGCAUUCAAUUCCUCAAAUUUUUCUCCAGUUGCCAAUUUUUCUAAAUCAGCAAAGAUUGCUAAUUCUGAGAUACCAUAUGAGAACAAGAGUGUGCCAGUCAUACAUGGAUCUGAUGGUGAUUCUUCUAGAAUGCAUAUAUUUUGUCUUGAGCAUGCUGUGGAAGUGGAAAAGCAAAUUGACGUUAUCGGAGGAGUGCAUAUGUUGCUACUAUUACAUCCAAGUGAGUUUGGUUAUGGAUGACCGGCCAUAACCAAGUACCUGGUGCAGCACAGGCGUGUGCAUAUGGAUGACUGCCCACUGAAGUGCCCAUGGAAAGGGUGCAAGAUGACGUUCAAGAGGGAGAGCCAUAUCCCUUGAGGAGGUUGCAAAGGUUGGAGGCAACAACGCGUUCUUGCAAAGCUCCUUACCAGACCGAUUACGUGCUUUUGAUCCAUCUACUGAGACAUCUGAGUCAUCCCAUCACGCAU